rnacentral:rRNA from 1 species
AGUCUCCGGCAUAUCAGCCUGAAGGCGCCCGAUCUCGUCUGAUCUCGGAAGCUAAGCAGGGUCGGGCCUGGUUAGUAUCUUGGAUGGGAGACCACCUGGGAAUCCCGGGUGCUCGAGGCUU